CUCGCGGCGAACGCGCCUCGAAGUCCCAGCGUCUYAGGGGUGAGCCUCUGGCCCGCGCSACGCCCUCGAGCUCUCCGAAAACAAAGCGGUGGCUAGCGGCGCCGAAGCCAGCGGCUCCUGAGUCUAAACCCGGUUGGCGCUCGCCAGUCGCGUGCCCUCCGGUUAGAGGCGGGCGKGGGGCCCCGGGGGCGGAACCAAACCCCCCCMCCCCMCCCCGUUGCUACGCACUGKGGGUCCGUCUGCACGGGAGCCGGAUUACCGAACCCCGCGUUGAACGCAAGUUUCUGAGCUACCAAGUGCCCUAAGACGUUAAGUGKGGUUCAUAGCGUAAAGCGAUGCAAGAAGUARCUACGCUCUCGGCUCUAUAGGCAACGGCUCUCAGCAAAACCUAUGNACNCUUUYUUCCGCGGCGKGGGGCGCCGCGNGGCAGAGGCCCCGGCGCCCUCGCACGAGAGAGCAAUCUAAAGGAACCGCGUCAGGCGCGGCCCCCAAGCAACAAAGCGGUCGGCCCUCGCCCUGCUCAGGGAGAGGGGCGCCGCACCCCGCCCUUCCUCCUCGCGGGCAACGCCUGCGCGUGGGGGAGGGCGGCGGCCACUAUAGUUGACCAAGCGCCCAGCAAGACGACCCGUCCAAAGCUGUUACUAGGAAGGCGUCCAAGUGGA
rnacentral:misc_RNA from 1 species